AAGACCAUCUUGAUCUUCCCACAGAGAAACACUAGUUCUCAACCAGCUUCUGGGCUAUACCUCUGCAGGGACAGGGCCCUCCCAGCACUGAGGAAAGCGCGGGACCACGCAGGGGUCAGCAAAGUGGGGAAUGGCUCUCACACUGGAGGUCGUUUGCCAGAGCAUCCCUGCUUGAAAAUAGUGAAGAUCACUGUACUAAGGGAAGGCUGCUAGCCUGAACAACGUUUGACUGCUCCAGCUUCUGACAACUUCCCGGAAACAGCUAGCUCUUUGGACUGCAGAAGUUCAUCGCAGCAUUCCUACGAGGCUGACCUUUUGGUUUAAAUAUCUGUACUAGCACGGCAGCAGGAUACUGAAACACAAACCACAAUGUAUUCUAGGAGGAAACCUUUAAUAGAAAAUUGAAAAACCUUUAUGACUCUAUAUAAAACUUUAAUUCUUAAAAGACAUCUGUUAUAAAAACACAGGGCUGUCCGUGAUGAGAAAGCUGUACUUACAAGCCAUUCUUUCUAUAUACAGGUUAUUUAAUAGGAACAAACGUUUGUGGCAUUUUGCCAACAGCACUGCAACUACUGCACCAAUAUGAAUGGUCAGUCAAUCCAUCAUUCUGCCGUAGCUUGGUGAGGCCUGGCUUGCUGGCCCAACCCAGCAGCUAGGCCAGGCAGUCAAGAAUCCGAGAAGAGAUGGAAAGCCCGCAAGCAGAACAAUUGUCUCCCCCACCCCAGAAUCAUGUGACAGUGUAGAGCAGGAAUGUCUUGCCCCACAUUGCCUAUUUAUUUAUUUAUUUAUUUAUUUAUUUAUUUAUUUAUUUAUUUAUAUUUAUUAAUGGACCCCUCCAAGUCACCCUAUUCCUUUAAAGAGUAGGGGAAAGAAGACUGGAAAAGCUCUUGAGGGGUCAAUUUCUCUCCCUGCCCUCCUCCCCAAAAAACAUCAGGAUGCAGAGCAAGGACAGCCAAAUCACAGUUUCAGCCAAGGCAGCAAUAUAACUUGAACAUGUCCUUAAUCUGAGGAGGGGGCACUGCUAAAUCUACCUACCGUUAGAUCCAUUUGCUACUGUUCUGUGUGGGGGGGGGGGAGAGGAGUAAUCUUGCAGAGAAAUUUAACAGCCGCUCGUGUGCCGUGGUGCUCAGAAAAGAGAUCUGUGCUGGUGUUAUCUUGCAAUCUGAACACAGACCUGGUGAUCCUGAGGGCACAUUGUGGGGUAGAGGCAGAGGGCAGACAUUCAGAGGUAGCUUCAUCUACCUGUAUAGAUGCUCUAAGGAUCUGACUCCCAAUAAAAACAAUGUAUUUUACGGCACAAAAUGGCAGCCCGGGUUUUUGCUUUGGCAAAAUGAAAGCUUUGCACAAUAAA